rnacentral:lncRNA from 1 species
UGCAACAACCACAUAAAACAUUACAUUAUAUUCCUCGGUAACACAGAUCCUCACAUUUUACGUAACAUGUUGAAGUAAUGCAUGUUACUACCUCGAGAGGUAAGAGACCAGUAUUACCAAGGUCAAUAAUCUGUUUCAUUUCACCUUCUGGCCAUUUAUAAAUAUGUAAAUGACUUCCGUACAAGCCAUCAGCAACGUGCUGGAGAUUGAAACCUUUGGAGAAAGCUUUAGGUGCUCCCCAAGAAGUGCUGAUCAUCGUCUUGAACCGAGGCUGGUACCAGAAAUCAUACCCAAACUUUGGGGCAUGCCCUGGUUUGUCCCACCUGCUUUUGACGUUGAAAUCAGAGUCAAGAAGGAGAAACCCGUUCCCUUUGGCGUUUCCUUCUUUGUCACCAAGGCAAGAGACCAACAUGUCGCCAGAGGCGAGGCAGUGAGACGUGUGCGGAAAUGCUAAUCCUGUCUUCUCAGAAAUCUCUUUAGGUUCUACAACCUUGUACAAGGACGGAGCUUUUGGGUCGGUCAUCGUGUCGAUUGCGUAGAUGCGGCCAGAUCUUCACCAAGACGAGAAAGAAAAAACGUUAAACAUAAUGAUCUAGAGAUGUACAGGUAAAAGGGGAAGGCGGCUCAAACAAGGUUAGUCUUACAUUAAGCCUGGUAAGACGAGGUAACGUCUACUAGCAGAAGGAUCACCAUGGCAAGAGCUGCAAUUCCUUCUAAAAAUAAGACAGGGACAUUUUGGUCUCGAAUCUACCAAACCGUACAAGUAAAGUGUGUCAAAACUAUAAUGUGUCUUUUGCUGCAAAGAAAAGACGAAAUGUGUCGUUUUAUGUAACCUUCUCAUCUAUUUACAUUCUAGCAAGAAACCAAAAUUGCAUCAGCUUCUCCGUAGCUUUAACCCCCUUCAUUCUCAUAAAUGUGAUCUUGUUACGGAAUCACUUGUCAAACAACUUCUUAAUCACCGGUAAAGGCAUCAACUUAUCACCAUGUAUUACUUUGUUAUGUUCUCUCCAUACUGCAUACAAGACUGUCUGAAAUGCAUAUCUAAUACAAAACAGACUCAUCUUCUCCCUUGUUUCAUCCGAAAUGAUUAGAAAAAUCUCAGACUCACUUUUUUUCUUAUGUGGACUCCAAAUACAAAUCUGAUUCUGUUUGUAAUCAUUUUCUUUCAAAAAUAACUCUGUUUUAGUUUCUUAUGAAUAUUGCGCCUACCCACCUUAUAGAGUUUUAAGGGAAUGUUCAAGGUUUGCACAACAUAACAUACUCUAUAUGCUUAAGCAGUUACUAAACCAUCUUUGGGUCAGGAAGUCUAGGCUCUAGAUAAAGAUUAACUCUAUUUUGCUACUUUUCUUCACUCAUUUGGUAUUUAAAUCUUGCACCACUGGUAAUGCUCAAACCUCAAAAGAAAGGGACACAAUAUAAGUAGGAGGUUAUAAUAUCACGGCUUAUUUAUUACACUCUGGAAAACAUAACAAUGAGUCAUUUUUUUUGCUUAAAAACAUAACACUGAGUUUGAAUAUAAAAAAAAAACAUAACAGUGAGUCAAACCCAAUUUUACUCGUUUUAGGGGUCCAAUUCAAAUCCAGAUAUCAGAUGUGCAGUCUCCGCCGGGAUAUCUCAUCUCAUGGGCAAGCGCAGGACCAUCGGGUUCUUCACCAAAGUCCACAAAGAAAUCAGGGUUUAUUGAGAGACCACCUUUCUCUGUAUCAACAUCAAUCUGAAUUAUGUGUGAUCCUUUAUCCAUGAGUUCUGGGUAAAACUGACGGUCCCACGCGCUGAACAGUGAGUUUGUUGCAUACAAUCGUUUACCAUCAAGGCUCAGCUGGAUCAUCUGAGGUCCUGCUCGUAGAGAUUUCCCCUACAAAUACCGAGAUAUUAAAGAAAAAAGUGCUCCCAAAUGAAUGUUUAUUUUUGUAAGUAAAACAAACCUUGAUCUGAGGAACAUCAAACUGGUAAGUGGUACCAUCUUCUCUAACAGCCUUUACAGGGCUGCCUUUUUGUAGUAAUCCGCCCACCCAAAUUUGACCAGUUAAGACAGGGUUUUUAGGGUCUUCAAUGUUGUACUGACGAAUGUCUCCAUGAAGCCAGUUCACAAAGUAGAAAAACCGAUCAUCGAGGGAGAUCAAGAAGUCGGUGAUAAGCCCCGGCAUUUCUGGAAGAAUCCAGUUCUCUACUUUCAGUGGUUCAACUGAUAUAACCACCUACCGAAAAAAUCAAUUUAAGGGUUAAUCAUAGCUUUGAAGAACCAAAGUAAAAAAAAGAGGUUAUGAAGAUAAUUCAGAAACUCGCUGCAAAGAAAAGACGAAAUGUGUCGUUUUAUGUAACCUUCUCAUCUAUUUACAUUCUAGCAAGAAACCAAAAUUGCAUCAGCUUCUCCGUAGCUUUAACCCCCUUCAUUCUCAUAAAUGUGAUCUUGUUACGGAAUCACUUGUCAAACAACUUCUUAAUCACCGGUAAAGGCAUCAACUUAUCACCAUGUAUUACUUUGUUAUGUUCUCUCCAUACUGCAUACAAGACUGUCUGAAAUGCAUAUCUAAUACAAAACAGACUCAUCUUCUCCCUUGUUUCAUCCGAAAUGAUUAGAAAAAUCUCAGACUCACUUUUUUUCUUAUGUGGACUCCAAAUACAAAUCUGAUUCUGUUUGUAAUCAUUUUCUUUCAAAAAUAACUCUGUUUUAGUUUCUUAUGAAUAUUGCGCCUACCCACCUUAUAGAGUUUUAAGGGAAUGUUCAAGGUUUGCACAACAUAACAUACUCUAUAUGCUUAAGCAGUUACUAAACCAUCUUUGGGUCAGGAAGUCUAGGCUCUAGAUAAAGAUUAACUCUAUUUUGCUACUUUUCUUCACUCAUUUGGUAUUUAAAUCUUGCACCACUGGUAAUGCUCAAACCUCAAAAGAAAGGGACACAAUAUAAGUAGGAGGUUAUAAUAUCACGGCUUAUUUAUUACACUCUGGAAAACAUAACAAUGAGUCAAACCCAAUUUUACUCUUUUUUAGGGGUCCAAUUCAAAUCCAGAUAUCAGAUGUGCAGUCUCCGCCGGGAUAUCUCAUCUCAUGGGCAAGCGCAGGACCAUCGGGUUCUUCACCAAAGUCCACAAAGAAAUCAGGGUUUAUUGAGAGACCACCUUUCUCUGUAUCAACAUCAAUCUGAAUUAUGUGUGAUCCUUUAUCCAUGAGUUCUGGGUAAAACUGACGGUCCCACGCGCUGAACAGUGAGUUUGUUGCAUACAAUCGUUUACCAUCAAGGCUCAGCUGGAUCAUCUGAGGUCCUGCUCGUAGAGAUUUCCCCUACAAAUACCGAGAUAUUAAAGAAAAAAGUGCUCCCAAAUGAAUGUUUAUUUUUGUAAGUAAAACAAACCUUGAUCUGAGGAACAUCAAACUGGUAAGUGGUACCAUCUUCUCUAACAGCCUUUACAGGGCUGCCUUUUUGUAGUAAUCCGCCCACCCAAAUUUGACCGGUUAAGACAGGGUUUUUAGGGUCUUCAAUGUUGUACUGACGAAUGUCUCCAUGAAGCCAGUUCACAAAGUAGAAAAACCGAUCAUCGAGGGAGAUCAAGAAGUCGGUGAUAAGCCCCGGCAUUUCUGGAAGAAUCCAGUUCUCUACUUUCAGUGGUUCAACUGAUAUAACCACCUACCGAAAAAAUCAAUUUAAGGGUUAAUCAUAGCUUUGAAGAACCAAAGUAAAAAAAAGAGGUUAUGAAGAUAAUUCAGAAACUCCACUUGCCUCAUGGCUCCAUGUGUCAUCACUGUUCCUGAAAAAUCUUAUCAUAUUACUCGACAAUGCACUCCCAACAUACCCUGUAUCUUUAGAUGGAUCAUGCAAGAAUCUUAUCUGCAACAACCACAUAAAACAUUACAUUAUAUUCCUCGGUAACACAGAUCCUCACAUUUUACGUAACAUGUUGAAGUAAUGCAUGUUACUACCUCGAGAGGUAAGAGACCAGUAUUACCAAGGUCAAUAAUCUGUUUCAUUUCACCUUCUGGCCAUUUAUAAAUAUGUAAAUGACUUCCGUACAAGCCAUCAGCAACGUGCUGGAGAUUGAAACCUUUGGAGAAAGCUUUAGGUGCUCCCCAAGAAG